rnacentral:tRNA from 1 species
GGGGGUGAAAUCCAGUCGAGGGACCAGCCUUCCAAGCUGAAUACGAGGGUUCGAUUCCCUUCACCCGCUCCA